GCCAAGACCAUUAAAAAUAAACAUUACUGCAUAACCUAAGUCCAGGAAAAGAGGAAUCAAACCCUAACAAUAUGGAGUCCUAGAUUAAACCGGUAUAACCUGUUCUCCAUCUUCAAUAGCAGCCGUUGGAGCUCCUCCUUCCGCAGCAGAAUCUCAUUGGCCUUCAAGAGAAAAACUAGACAGAGAAACACAACUAUACAAGGAGAUCACGCAUCAACCUCAAAGGGAGAGCAUAAGCUCCCCAUGCAAACCAAGGGUCUCCCCUGUUUCUAACACUUGCAAUCCCACAGAAACUGAGGAGAUUUGCAGCAACACAACAAAUAAGAACUGGGACUUAGACGAUGCCGGACGAAGGAUGAAAAGCUUGGCACAUUCAAGAAUUUUUAUCCGGUGAAACCAAUGUUCAUACAACCGUUUCAAUUGAUUAUGGUGAGAGAAAUCAUUGUAUAUAUACAUCAGAUCUCAUCGUCACCAAUACUUCCAAUAUGGCCAGCCGACAAUCGUCUCUAAGAAGCAUCACCACCAACAGUAGAAGGGAGCACCUAGAAUAAAUAAAACAGCCUCAUAUAAAUCCAACAAAAUCUCCAUUCAAAAAGGGGUAUUAGAGCUCCAAUAUUAGAGACUGAAAAAAAAAUUAAACAAACAAAAGGAAAACUGAAAAAAAUAAA
rnacentral:misc_RNA from 1 species